ensembl:lncRNA
UUGAUGAACACGUGGAUGGGCUUAGAGGGAGAGAUCCGUGGUGGUUGGGGUAUCACGCGUAUCUUGCUCAAGACCUUCUUGUUAGUUGGUGCGGCCACGGUCAGUGGGUACAACUGUCCACUGUCAGGGUCUCUGUGUAACAGUGAGGUGCGGUAGCUGGUGGUGGUCUCUUGCACCCCACAGAAUGUUACCCUGGCAGGUGGAAAGCUGCUGCCUGCCACUUUGGCACCCCGCGUGCUCUUGCCUCUGCUAGGGCACUUCUUCCCCUUCCGGGGCUGCCGCUUGUGGCCUUUGGGGCUUGCCUCAGCCCAAGAUGCCUCGGACGGUGCGGUCACAUACGUGCUGGCAGAUUCUUCCUCCUGGGGCACUGCUGGCUUCAAUGGACUGCCUGAGAUGAGGCGGUUCCCAAGGCGCUCCAGCUUCAUGGAGCGGAUGUGCAGCUCCAGGCACUCGCGCUGCUCCUCAUUCAGGAACAGAGCCUGACGGCUGGGGAAGUAUCUACGAACCGUCUGGGAUCUCGGUGCUCUGGUGCCAGCUGGGCAGGCAAGGGGCGCCCCACGCUGCUUCUGCAUGGACCUCCGCACCACCGCAGGGAAGCGUUGAAGCUUUACCUCCAGGCAUUUUCUGGCCGUGUGCAUGGAGAGCUUCCCAAAAGCCGCCUGACUGAGCUGCAGCUUGGAGAUGAUAGCAAGCGCUGCGCUGCGGCGCUGGCUCCUGGCUUUGAUGUCACCCACACGCAGGCCUGCAGAGUCCGUUUGACAGCUGGCGUCCUUUAGCAGCGAUGUGCUGG